GGGGCACUGGGAUCAAGAUGGACAAAGGCUGGUGUUACGUCUCUUUCUCCAUGUGUACAAAGAAGCUUUAGCGGACUGUAUCAUCCUUCACUUGUGUCUUGUGUGGCCUGAAACAACACUAAUGUUGUUGGUGUGCUAAGAUGAGUAUUGCUGAUGAGACUGCUGAGGGCCUGUUUGUUGGCUUCGAUGGGGUAAUACUAAAUUGCAUCUCAUACGUGCAUAUGAACCUGGUCAUCUACUGGCUGGGGAGGGAGUUAACUCAGAAGAAGAAGAGGCUCGGUGGAGAGCUGAGCGUGAAGCUGCAGAGAGAGAAGUUGCUAGAGUGAGAAUGAGACAAGAGUAAGCACUUGCUCCUGGACUGUUUAUUUCCCGUGAUAAAGUAGAUUUUUGUAAGGUUCCUGAAUGGAUAAAGAAAAGGGAGGAGGUUUGAAAGCAAUACCAAGAUAUAAACAUUGUAUGACUACGUUGAUUCACUUGGAUGCUAGAAACAGAAGAGUAUAGCUUAAUCACAAACUUUCCAAGAACGGUGUAUGGAAGCGAAAAUGUAUGAAAAAAAUGUGUUGUAUAUUGUGAAUUGGAAGAGAAAAUGUAUGAAAAAGUACAAUUGACUAACA